GACGAACGCUGGCGGCGUGCUUAACACAUGCAAGUCGAACGGAAAGGCCCUGCUUUUGUGGGGUGCUCGCGUGGCGAACGGGUGAGUAACACGUGAGUAAACUGCCCUUGUCUUUGGGGUAACUUCAGGAAACUGGGGCUAAUACCGGAUAGGAGCUCCUGCUGCAUGGUGGGGGUUGGAAAGUUUCGGCGGUUGGGGAUGGACUCGCGGCUUAUCAGCUUGUUGGUGGGGUAGUGGCUUACCAAGGCUUUGACGGGUAGCCGGCCUGAGAGGGUGACCGGACACAUUGGGACUGAGAUACGGCCCAGACUCCUACGGGAGGCAGCAGUGGGGAAUAUUGCACAAUGGGCGGAAGCCUGAUGCAGCAACGCCGCGUGCGGGAUGACGGCCUUCGGGUUGUAAACCGCUUUCGCCUGUGACGAAGCGUGAGUGACGGUAAUGGGUAAAGAAGCAACGGCUAACUACGUG
rnacentral:rRNA from 1 species